rnacentral:tRNA from 1 species
CAAAAAGUAGCUUAUAAAAGCACCUAGCUUACAACUAGGAGAUGCCGCACAACUACGACCUUUUUGA